rnacentral:rRNA from 1 species
UGGGGAAUUUUGGACAAUGGGGGAAACCCUGAUCCAGCCAUCCCGCGUGUGCGAUGAAGGCCUUCGGGUUGUAAAGCACUUUUGGCAGGAAAGAAACGUCAUGGGUUAAUACCCCGUGAAACUGACGGUACCUGCAGAAUAAGCACCGGCUAACUACGUGCCAGCAGCCGCGUUAAUACGUAGGGUGCAAGCGUUAAUCGGAAUUACUGGGCGUAAAGCGUGCGCAGGCGGUUCGGAAAGAAAGAUGUGAAAUCCCAGAGCUCAACUUUGGAACUGCAUUUUUAACUACCGGGCUAGAGUGUGUCAGAGGGAGGUGGAAUUCCGCGUGUAGCAGUGAAAUGCGUAGAUAUGCGGAGGAACACCGAUGGCGAAGGCAGCCUCCUGGGAUAACACUGACGCUAAUGCACGAAAGCGUGGGGAGCAAACAGG